rfam:Aedes albopictus isolate Foshan contig67255, whole genome shotgun sequence.
UGCCCAGCAACUCCUAUCCCUACCUCCUCGUGGUACCGGGAAGAUCGAGUAACCAACCUCGGUCGGGACUUUGGUCGUUGGCUGACAGCGAAGA